GCGGCUUAUUUGACUCAACACGGGAAAACUUACCAGGUCCAGACAUAGGAAGGAUGACAGAAUGAGAACUCUUUCUUGAUUCUAUGGGUGGUGGUGAUGGCCGUCUUAGUUGGUGGAGUGAUUUGUCUGGGUAAUUCCGUUAACGAACGAGACCUUAACCUACUAAAUAGUUUACGGGAAAUAUUGCUAAUUAAAGCACUUGUUAGUUGGAGGUUUUGGUUGGCUUCGCGGCUGGUCAGGAUUUUUGAUUAGCAAGUGUUGGUUUUAUUCCUGGUUAAACUUCUUAGAGGGACUAUUCGUGUCUAACGAAUGGAAGUUUGAGGCAAUAACAGGUCUGUGAUGCCCUUAGAUGUUCUGGCCCCACGCGCGCUACACUGACGAAUUCAACGAGCUUUAAACUCUCCUUGACCGGAAGGUUUGGGUAAUCUUUUGAAAAUUCGUCGUGCUGGGGAUAGAUUAUUGCAAUUAUUAAUCUUCAACGAGGG
rnacentral:rRNA from 1 species